UCCCUGGUGGUCCAGUGGUUAGGGUUCUGCACUCUCACUGCCGAGGGCCCAGGUUCGACCCCUGGUUGGGGAA